rnacentral:other from 1 species
UUUCCCCUGCGGUGCCCGUUAAGGCCUUAGAGUCUUUGAACCAAUAUACUUGAUCUGGUUGCCGACUUAAGCAGCACCGGUGUGCGCGUCCGACAGGAAGCGCCUAAUGGGCUCGGGAGGCGACCACCUUGAACCGUCGGUUCAAGAUGCAGGUCUGACGGCACAGGCGGGGGUCCC